UCCCAAUGGGCGAAAGCCUGACGGAGCAAUACCGCGUGAGGGAGGAAGGCUCUUGGGUUGUAAACCUCUUUUCUCAGGGAAGAAMAAAAUGACGGUACCUGAGGAAUAAGCAUCGGCUAACUCCGUGCCAGCAGCCGCGGUAAUACGGAGGAUGCAAGCGUUAUCCGGAAUGAUUGGGCGUAAAGGGUCCGCAGGUGGCAUUGUAAGUCUGCUGUUAAAGAGUUUGGCUCAACCAAAUAAGAGCAGUGGAAACUACAAAGCUAGAGUGUGGUCGGGGCAGAGGGAAUUCCUGGUGUAGCGGUGAAAUGCGUAGAUAUCAGGAAGAACACCAGUGGCGAAGGCGCUCUGCUAGGCCGAGAC
rnacentral:rRNA from 1 species